GAUGAACGCUGGCGGCGUGCUUAACACAUGCAAGUCGAACGGAAAGGCCCUGCUCUUGUGGUGUGCUCGAGUGGCGAACGGGUGAGUAACACGUGAGUAACCUGCCCUUGACUUUGGGAUAACUUCAGGAGACUGGGGCUAAUACCGGAUAGGAGCUCCUGCUGCAUGGUGGGGGUUGGAAAGUUUCGGCGGUUGGGGAUGGACUCGCGGCUUAUCAGCUUGUUGGUGUGGUAGUGGCUUACCAAGGCUUUGAAGGGUAGCCGGCCUGAGAGGGUGACCGGCCACAUUAGGACUGCGAUACGGCCCAGACUCCUACGGGAGGCAGCGGUGGGGAAUAUUGCGCAGUGAGGGGAAGCCUGAUGCAGAAGCGCCGCGUGCGGGAUGACGGCCUUCGGGUUAUAAACCGCUUUCGCCUGUGACGAAGCGUGAGUGACGGUAAUGGGUAAAAAAGCACCGGCUAACUACGUG
rnacentral:rRNA from 1 species